rnacentral:lncRNA from 1 species
UUGUUAGGGAUUGUAACGAUGUAAAUGUGCAGUCAAGUUAGUUAUUUUUGAGGCCGUAUUAGUCAAAAGACAAGGAAAUUAGAUAGUGUUUUUUAUUUCAUUGUAUAUUAUUUUUUUUGUGUUUUUAUUUUAAUUUAACUUGUUGAAUAUUUAGCUUAUUCAUGGUUACUAACAAUGGGUAUAGGUGGUCAGGUGACCAAUAAAACUAUGAAGAGUAGUUAAGUUCGG